AUCCUGAGGAAUCUGGUAACAUUGUCCAGCAACCAUACGCCGAACCAGUGCAGGAAGUAAGAGCCGAUGAUCAACAGGUCUACACCCCACUACGCAAGGUCCAUUACACCCAACCACCUAAGUGGGUCGACCCAAGAACAAUGCUGCCAAAGCCUUUAGACUUACCUGGCCCAAAGUUGGAAUUGUUUUCUUUACAAAAUCCUUCAACACAUGCGGAUGAUCCUCCUU